rnacentral:tRNA from 1 species
CCGUCGGGGUGCAGUGGUAAACGUAUGUGGUUGUAAACUAGACGGUUGUGAGUUCAAUUCCCACUCGGGGGA